CCUACGGGGGGCUGCAGUAAGGAAUAUUGGUCAAUGGACGCAAGUCUGAACCAGCCAUGCCGCGUGGAGGAUGAAGGUCCUCUGGAUUGUAAACUUCUUUUAUUUGGGAAGAAACUCCCGAUUUCCAUCGGGAUGGACGGUACCAGAUGAAUAAGCACCGGCUAACUCCGUGCCAGCAGCCGCGGUAAUACGGAGGGUGCAUGCGUUCUCCGGAUACAGGGGGUUUAGGGGGUCAGGUGGUGCACUGGUGAAAUCUCCGGGUUUAACCCGGAAACUGCCAUUGAUACUAUUUGUCUUGAAUACUCUGGAGGUGAGCGGAAUAUGUCAUGUAGCGGUGAAAUGCUUAGAUAUGACAUAGAACACCCAUUGCGAAGGCAGCUCACUACGGAAAUAUUGACGCUGAGGCACGAAAGCGUGGGGAUCAAACAGGAUUAGAUACCCGUGUAGUC
rnacentral:rRNA from 1 species